GCCUUCGUGGUCUAGCGGUUAGGACUCCUGGUUUACACCCAGGUGACCAGGGUUCGAUUCCCUGUCAGGGAA